rnacentral:rRNA from 1 species
AUUGAACGCUGGCGGCAUGCCUUACACAUGCAAGUCGAACGGCAGCACGGGUGCUUGCACCUGGUGGCGAGUGGCGAACGGGUGAGUAAUACAUCGGAACGUACCUUAUCGUGGGGGAUAACGCAGCGAAAGUUGCGCUAAUACCGCAUACGCCCUGAGGAGGAAAGCGGGGGACCGUAAGGCCUCGCGCAAUUAGAGCGGCCGAUACCUGAUUAGCUAGUUGGUGAGGUAAAGGCUCACCAAGGCAACGAUCAGUAGCUGGUCUGAGAGGACGAUCAGCCACACUGGGACUGAGACACGGCCCAGACUCCUACGGGAGGCAGCAGUGGGGAAUUUUGGACAAUGGGGGCAACCCUGAUCCAGCAAUGCCGCGUGAGUGAAGAAGGCCUUCGGGUUGUAAAGCUCUUUUGUCAGGGAAGAAACAGCAGCUCUAACACAGUAUGCGAAUGACGGUACCUGAAGAAUAAGCACCGGCUAACUACGUGCCAGCAGCCGCAGUAA